AUUGAACGCUGGCGGCAGGCCUAACACAUGCAAGUCGAGCGGAUGAAGGGAGCUUGCUCCUGGAUUCAGCGGCGGACGGGUGAGUAAUGCCUAGGAAUCUGCCUGGUAGUGGGGGAUAACGUCCGGAAACGGGCGCUAAUACCGCAUACGUCCUGAGGGAGAAAGUGGGGGAUCUUCGGACCUCACGCUAUCAGAUGAGCCUAGGUCGGAUUAGCUAGUUGGUGGGGUAAAGGCCUACCAAGGCGACGAUCCGUAACUGGUCUGAGAGGAUGAUCAGUCAAACUGGAACUGAGACACGGUCCAGACUCCUAAGGGAGGCAGCAGUGGGGAAUAUUGGACAAUGGGCGAAAGCCUGAUCCAGCCAUGCCGCGUGUGUGAAGAAGGUCUUCGGAUUGUAAAGCACUUUAAGUUGGGAGGAAGGGCAGUAAGUUAAUACCUUGCUGUUUUGACGUUACCAACAGAAUAAGCACCGGCUAACUUCGUG
rnacentral:rRNA from 1 species